GUGAAGUACCGUAGCUCGGUGGUAGAGCAUCUGCAUUGCAUGCAAAAAGUCCCAAGUUCACUCCUUGGCACCUCCACA